rnacentral:lncRNA from 1 species
AAUCCUCUUUCUUGGUGCACCCUUAGCAGCCAGGUUAUGAGCUUGAGCCGUUGGCUGAGACCAUUCAGUGGUGAAGACAACUUCUUCACUUUCACCAAGUCUAAUACUUGGUGAUGGAGAGUCAAAACAAGGUGGCGGCUGAGGGUUAUGGGAUUCAUUUUGACUAGUUAGAAGAUCCAUGAAGCCAACAGAGUUGGCAUCAUAUGGAUUCAUUUAGAGAAGAGAUUGAAAAGGUUUUAAAGUUUGUUCUUUUACUGUCAAAGAGAAACAAAUAGAUUU